UGAUCAAACAACGGUGAGAAUGUCUUGCUCAUGGACUUCAACAAUUAUGAGUAGUUAUCUUUUACAUUCCACUGCAUGUUUACAUUAAUCCAAAUAUUCACACUAUUUAGUUUAAAAUUCCCCAGCCAUAACUUAUUCCAUUUCAUAUAUUCAUCUCACAUGCAUUAUAAAAAAACUCACCAUGAUCAUGCUCUUUUAUCUCUAUCUGAAUAAAUCUCUAUAAUGCUUUCAUGUCACCUUUGUUUGCUAUAGUAUAUGUUUAGGUUUGGAGUAGUUUCAUUUAUCUCUUAAAUAAAGCAUGGUGCCUAGUUUAGGAGUGAUGAUCUUGCUCUCAAAGGCUUUUAAUUAGACGUGGUUAAAAUGCCUUCUUUAAUCAAAUUAGACGUGGUGUCUAGGCUGAUUUUUGAGCCGAUAGUAUGCUGUAGUAGAUACUGGAAUAUUUUGUCGGACUAACCCCUACAAGAAAAUUUUGAAUUAAAUCUGGGAAAGUCAAGAGAUAAGUUCACAACGAGGAUGAAUCAAGGUAGAUAAUAACUUUGCACAAAAAGUUCAACUUGUGAGUAGUAAUAUUUAUCUAUUUAUCUUUUGUUACAAGUUAUGUGUUCCUUGAACCAUGAUAGAUUGCAACAACAACAUAAAACACAAUAGACACAAUUUAUGCUAAAUAAUCUUAAACCAUAUAUCAUCUUGAUUAGCAUAAAAAAUAAAAAAAAAGAAUGGAUAACAAAACCUGUAUUUCAAUCUUGUUAUUCCCUUGGGUUUGAGUCCAUUAACGUUUUGUAGGAAAGAACAACCUUAAUCUAUUGAAGAAGAAGUUUUCAAGUGAACAUUAUUGCAUCUCCAAUAGACCCCAGC
rnacentral:lncRNA from 1 species